rnacentral:rRNA from 1 species
UGCCAGACUCCUACGGGAGGCAGCAGUGGGGGAUAUUGCACAAUGGGGGAAACCCUGAUGCAGCGACGCCGCGUGAGUGAAGAAGUAAUUCGUUACGUAAAGCUCUAUCAGCAGGGAAGAAAAUGACGGUACCUGACUAAGAAGCCCCGGCUAACUACGUGCCAGCAGCCGCGGUAAUACGUAGGGGGCAAGCGUUAUCCGGAUUUACUGGGUGUAAAGGGAGCGUAGGUGGCAUGGUAAGCCAGAAGUGAAAACCCGGGGCUCAACCCCGCGGAUUGCUUUUGGAACUAUCAGGCUGGAGUGCUGGAGGGGUAAGCGGAAUUCCUAGUGUAGCGGUGAAAUGCGUAGAUAUUAGGAGGAACACCGGUGGCGAAGGCGGCUUACUGGACAGAAACUGACACUGAGGCUCGAAAGCGUGGGGAGCAAACAGGAUUAGAUACCCCCGUA